GACGUAGGAUGCAAGCGUUGUCCGGAUUUAUUGGGCGUAAAGAGUUCGUAGGUGGUUUGUUAAGUCUGAUGUUAAAGACUGGGGCUCAACCUCGGGACUGCAUUGGAUACUGGCAGACUUGGAGUGCGGUAGAGGCAAGUGGAAUUCCAGGUGUAGCGGUGAAAUGCGUAGAUAUCUGGAAGAACACCGGUGGCGCAAGCGACUUGCGUG
rnacentral:rRNA from 1 species